rnacentral:lncRNA from 11 species
AUGCACAGCCCAAAGGUUUAUAAAACUCCCAAGAGCACCCACUCACCAACUGAUGCCAGUACUCCGAUCAGCCCAGCCACGGCGCCGCCAAGGUUUUUCUCCACUGUCGUCAAAAGCAAGGAUCGCUGCGUGAUGAAGAUAGACACAACAUGUUGGCCUACCCAGGAAGGAUCAUUCUCAGGACUUAGUACCUUCACCACCGCCACUGAGAAAGGGAAGAGUGUGGAGCUGCCUUCUGCUGAUUUCCCAGAACUUGAUGACUCCUUGGUAGCCGACAUUCAGUCACUAGUUUGUAGGGGUCAGAAAAAAACAGAGAAUAAGCUUCCUUCCAUUCCACAGAGAGGAGUUCCUGAGCAAGGCGAUUCAAAAGAGCAAGAGCCAGAAGAAAUAACCCUGAACAAAUGCAAAGCUGAUUGCAGCCUCUGCAUCGACGAGACUUCAUGCCUCGAAGAAGAGACGGAAAGGGCUCAUUCAAGCCUAGACAACAUUUUGGAGUUAGUCCUCGGGCCGACUGCCGACAGCCGCAGCUCUCGCGAAAAGCCUCCGGACCCUGUCAAGAGCUUCCCGAGAAGAGUUGGAGGACAUGCAAAUACUCUGCGAGGCUGCAUAAAUUGGGUUCACGACUCCUGACCCGGGGUCUCCUGGCUUUAGAAAGAUGAAAGAGGAAGGACGCGGACCCAGAGGGCAGAUGGACACCUGGAGAAAGCUUUGGCGGCUUUUGCAAGGCAAGAUGGUUCAUCUCCUAAAAGCUCUUUUCUCUUAUUAUCCCUCUGGUCUGUGAAGACAAGUCCCCUAGGCCUCCCCUCCGGCUUUUCCGAGAUGAAAAGCUAGGCAGCACUAGAGGACGGUCAAGGUGACCGGAGCUGGUUUCCCUUUAGGGAUUGCUCACAGAACAACAAUUUUGCCUUCUGCAGCCUCUUAGGAUAAUAAUAAUAAUAAUAAUAAUAAUAAUAAUAAUAAUAAUAAUAAUAAGUAAAGCAAAGUGAAGAACCUGCUUUGAUUGAAGUCAAAAAUCAGAAACUCCUCAAAGCACAGCAGACAAAAAAUCAGUACAAGAAAACCGCACUACAAACUAGAGCUGACAGCUGGCACAACAAAACAUUGCAUGGAAAGUUCCUUGACAAAAUUGAAGGAAAAGCUGAUAAGGAGAAGACCUGGCUCUGGCUCACGAA